UAUUGUAUUAAAGUUAAAUGAAAUACGAUACAAUACAAUAAAAAUUGAAAUUAAUCCGCUAACUGGAGAAGAUGCGAUUGAUUCGUCAUUUGGAUAAUAAUUCUUUUAUUUAGAGGUAUCGUUUCAUGUAAAAAGUGUUUAAACUUCAUACUUAGAUUUCUGUUUAAAGGGCAACUUCAUUUAUUUUCAUUUGCAUUAUAUUUUAGUUAUAUUAUAUUGUAUUUCGUUUAAUUUUAGUUUAUAUCGUGUUAUAAUUGAUUUCGCUUGAAUUGUAUUGUAUCGUAUUUCAUUUAUUCUGAAUUAGAUUAUAUUUUGUGUUUCGAGUUCUGGCUGAAUAAUAUAAUAAUGUUGCUUGAUUGAGUUGUAACUCUGAAACACCUUGUAUAUCACGUGGAACGAGAAUUUACGAUUCAACGAACACGUUGAAUCGAGACGAAUUCAGCUAAACUCAAUAAAAAGGAGACGUGGAAAGAUCGGUCGGCCGAAUGCGGAGGCGUCUGCCUGUUCCUUCUCCAAGAAAAUUUGAUUGAUGAAGGAAUUGAUCUUCCCUUUUUGUUUCAUGAUUGAUAAGAUGUUUUAACCGAUGGGACUCAUGCACGAGAAAUUUUAGUGUAAAAGUGCCUCGAGGUGGAUUUUGAUGGAUAGAAGAUUACAUCAUAACGUUAUCAGGAAAUUAAUAAGAAACGUCAAGAUAUUAUUUCUUAGAAAAAUUUGAAAAUCUCUUCCGAGGAAAAGAGAAUUUUCAAAAGAUAAAUUAUAUAUUACAAAAAACUGAUAAGAACCAGCAGGAAAUUAAUUUUCAAAGAAACAAGAAAAUUGUUAACUGACGAAGAAAAGACUUUGAGUAGUUACUUGGUGCAAUAUCCUUGAGAAAUUAAUAAACGUUCUUAAAAAUUAUUUUUUUUUUUUACGGAAGAUAGAAGAUUGACUGCGGGGAAAAUAUAAAACAUCACAUUACAAUAUUCCUUAGAAAAAUAAUUAAGAAAGAAAUUAAUAAAUUGGUAAUGGAUAAAAGGACUUUGCGAGGUUCGCCAAAAGUGUAAUUUAAAAUUUAAAUUCUUUUCUUUUUGAGAUACACAUAUAUAGAUUAUACUUGUAGUAUUCAUUAACUAUUCAUAUUAUAUCUGUAAUUUGAUCGUGCAAGGAUAAGAAUUAAUAGAAUCGGUUACGUAUUUCCAAGAAUUUCUUCUACUUGCUUUAUUAACACUUUAUGCAUAUUUCAAAUGUGAGAUAGUAAAUAACAUUCAAGUAAAUAGCUGUACCAUAGGUACAUAAGAGUCGAUAUUUCGUUCUACGCUCGAUUUCCUUUAUCGCAGAUGGCGUAACCAUUUCCUGUAACAUUCUCGAGCUAUUCGAGAUGCAAGAUGCAACUACGCGAUCGGUCCGAGCAUCUGUUGUCAGGUGGUAAACGCGAAGGAAUCGCAAUCCUCCGGGGAUAGGCCAGUUUAAUUGGAAUUGAUGCUGCAAGCCCAGCGCUACAAUCGACACAGCUCUAACGCGCGUAACUAAUUAACACGCCGGAGAUAAUCCAAGUGAAUCGCGUCUAAGCAAUAGCUCCCCCGUGAUGUAGUCGAUCGUACCACAAUAGAGGUUAUGAGAGCGCCAGAAAUCGAACGUACCAAUUUAUCUCGUGAGCCGAUCUAUUCGAUCAGGACUAUGCGUUAUGUAUUCGCGAAGAUGUUUUGAUAUUGUACGAGGGGAAAAGCGAGCGGGAACAGACGAAUCGACCAGCAACGAGGGGAAACGUUCGCGUGGAUCGGGCCGCUGGUGGAGAUAACGAGCUGCGGUACGCGGAAAACAGGAAGUUGGCAUGAAAAAGUAGAUACAAAAUGAACUGUAGAUGCCACAAUAAGGUAUUACAGAAAUGAUGGAAAGAAGAAAGGAAAAAUUAAACGAUGACGAUGGCAGAGGAACAAACGAGAGAUGUAGCGGUGCGCUGGAAGUUAACAAGAAAAAUGGCUAGUUGUUUCUUGAAUCUUCCGCGGUAAUAGAUGACGGAGGAUUAAAUCCCAAGACUAUCCGGUUUAUCUUUUUGCUAGGUAAGUCGAGUCCCAUUUGUUUCCCUCGCCUAGGUGGAUUGAAUUCGCCAAGUUUAGUGUAGAAAGGUGAGUUAAGUUUUAUUUAUAUAGAAAGGCACUCUGUUAACAUUAAGAUUUAAAAAGAAUAAGCAUAGUAUAUAAAAUUGUAAUCUAAAAUACAAUUUUCUUGGAUAGUAUUAUUGGUAAAGGCCAAUAUAUAAUAUUCAAAUAUUCCCGAAACAAAACCAAGGAGUAUACCGCUGCUUGGCAUUGAUAGCGGCACGCCUUAAAAAAACGUACAUUUUAAAGGAUAGUCAUUUUAAAAUUUAUGUCUUUGGAAAUACAGAAUACAGGGCUUAUUAAUCUAACAGCUCCUGAACAGAUCGUCGUCAUUAUUAUUAUUAUCAAUAUCAUUACUAUAAUAUUGCCGAAACAAAAUUUAUUCCGUUUCAAUAAAAUUCAAAUUUCUGCCACUGAUCCACACAGUUUAUCCUAAAGAAUAAGCAAAAAGCAAAUUAAAAACGCAUCUAGAAACAAGUAGUACCUAUACAUAGAAGCGAUUAGGACGAAUGGUUUAAUAAAGAAUUCACGAAUAUUUAUAUCCGACCAGUUCGUUUUAUUUUUACUCGUAAAACACAGGGUCGGGAAAGUUUGUGCGGAAAAAUUUAUGGCACGCCCUGUAUAAAUAAAUUAAGAGGGAUCAGGAGGGGGUAGUUUGCGCCGUCCGGAAGUUUUCGGUCGCAGACAGCCCAGCGAUACGAUAGGAUUUCCAACGUAUCGCGCGAUAUAUAGACCUGCCCUUAACUUUUGAACGUUUCGAGGCUAGGUUCUCGCGUAACAUCCACCUUUGGCGACGCCUUUCACGGCGAGCGCAUUCGAACGGAAAGAAUGGUAGAAACUCGAUAAAACGCCGCGAGAAAAUAUUUUCGAACGACACGGUUUUCCAUUCUGACCACCCUACUUUAUUCCGAUCGAACCACCCUCCACGUCGGCUCGUAACUUUCCUCAUUUCCUUGCGUCGUCGAAACUGUGUUCGCGGUAACGCUUCGAAAUAAUGUUCCCUUCGUCGAUUAACUUCUUGAUUUUACUGGGAAUUUUCUUUAUGGAGGUGUUUCAAGAGAAUUAUUUCGAGAACGAAAGGAAAGUUCUUGAAGGAUAUUGGAGACGAAGAUGGAGGUUUGCGACGCGAAACUUAGAUUCAAGGAGUUCGUUUCGCGAUCGUCAGCCCCCGGAACGAUGGAAAAUAAAAAUUGGAUGUAUUUUUAUGCUGUUUUAUUCAACUGCGCACCAAAAUAGAUCGAAUAAAUUCUUUUUUUAGUAGGCAUUGAAAUUGUUAGUACAAAUACAUACAAUUUUAUUUAAGGGUUCCUGAUUGGUUUAAACGUUGCACGUAUUUUUAAAACGAAUAGGACAAACGGAUUUUCAACGUUCGAAUAUUUCGAAAUAUUUGAAUAUUACGUGACCGUGGUCAAAAUACGCAGUUUUAGUUGCAAACUAAUACACGCUACGGUCAUUUUUCUACGAAAUCUACGUAAAGCUCGAAUAAAUCUUUCGAAUUAAAAUUUUGCGCCAAAAAUGUUCCUUUCUUCUUAAAAUAAUUCGCAAUAAGCACUUCCAUAAAAGAAUCCUUGAUAAAAUCAAGUGUUCGAUUGACUAACGCAUAUUGUAAUCUGCGAGAAGCCUGUGUGGCAUCUCUUACUUGUAAAAAAAAUCCAUUGUCUCGUUCAUUCAGGUAGAUGGUAUAGGCAAAAGUCAAGAAACAAUUAACCGAUGUUUAUUGGCAUUUAUAUUCUUCUCUACACAGCUGACGAUAAACACACCAACGACACCAUCUUCUAACAUUAUUAAUAAAUAUUUAAGAAGAUAAAUUGCGCUUAAAUUCUAUAUUACAUUCUGUAUUCUCUUUGCUACGGAAAACAUUUCCUAGUAAAAGCGCAAAAUUUUCCAACUGUGGCACUUACAGUGCUUUCUAAGAGCAUUCUUCAAUUUAAUCUUCUAUCUAAUCUUUCGUUUAAUUUUAACUUAAUUUUCUAAAAUUAAAUACCGAGCAUUAAAUUCUUCUAAACCCUCUUUAAUUUAUCCUGGCGGAAAUUUAAACGCCACAUGGAAAUCAUCUAACCACGGAAAAACAGAAAGGUGAUUAUAGACGUACAAUAUUUUUCUUCGCAGGUUGGAGGAUUUUUGUAACGUAACUUUCGGUCGCGAUUCUCGUCGCACUUUCAAAGCGGUUAAGGCUCGGCCGACGAUUUUUUGGUCAUGAAAAAAGAGAGAGAGAAAGAGAGAGAGAGAUAGUAGGGGAGAAAAGAAAGGAUGGCAGGACAAAAGGUAGAAAAAGGGAUGAAAGCGUGGGAAAAAGAGGGGUGAAAAAAAGAAAAACAACGAGCGACCACGCGACGAACAAUGGCGUAAUGAAGAGUCCGCGCUUUACGCGCGCGAUACCCGCCCGUGAAAGCCGUAAGAGGAUUUUCGUUCAGUCGGGAAAAAUGCCUGGCCAGAAAUUCAAUAUUCAGCCUGCUCUUUGUUCUCAUUAAGGGACGAACAACGUCAGUUGUAAUUAAGGUGAAAACUGUGAGAAUCGCGAACGUAAAUAGGCUUUCUGAUAAACUUCGUUUUCGAAACGAGUCGCUUUACUUCUUCCAUGGUUUCACCCUUGUCUUUACGAUCUUUUUCUUUUUGCGAUAAAUGGUGGUUUGUGGAUGAUCGAAUUAGUCGCUAUUAGUUAUCGCAUUACGCGCAGAAAGAUUUCGCAGUCUACAAAGAUCGAUAUAAUAUAGCGUUAAUGUACUUUCAUACGACGAGAACGAUUUAACGCUAUGAAAAUAAAACGUAGAAGCGGAGAAAAAAAGAAACUCUUAAUAAGAAUACGUAGAAAUAUUUUUGACAACUAUCGCACGUAUUAAACUUUCAAAUGGUCGAUCCACGAUUUUUGGAAUUUUCCACAAUUGGCAAACUAUUUUCCUACUAUUUUUAAAAUUCCAUAACUCAUAGCACGUUAUAUCAACUAUUUAUCAUACAAUUCCUCUGGCAUUCCUUACUUCCAUAAAAAUUCUUUCUUCCCUAUCUCGAAGAAAAUAAAAUAAAACAGAGAAUCUGAAAUAUCCGAUUAGCCGUCUUUUUCCUACCGGCAUCGCCAUUCGACGAAUUCUUCAGAACCGAUCGAUUAUUUCGAAUUGAUGAGACGUUGAAUGCUCGUGGAAAGCUCGUCCACCGUUAAUGGAGUAGCGUAAAUAAAUAAGACGAAAGAUACGGCUGGAUCCCGUGGAUGAGGAAUCUUAAUGCCUGGCCCAUCGAAACGUUUGCUCUUCGCUGUUGUCGAUCGAUCGAGGAGCAUCUUGAAAGAUUUAACGAUCUCGCGGAGUGAGAAGGAUCGAGAAGUGUUAAAAGUCUCUCGAAAUGUUGCAGGAUGAGGGAAAAGGAGAGAGGGUAAGAAAGGGUUGGUGAAAUAGAUGGAUGGAAUAAGGCAUGGCAACACGCAACAGGCAAUCAGGUCAAGUUGAGAUGUUUCAAAAGUUCAAGAGCCUCGAACUUCCGGUAAACUGGUGUUCAAGAAAGGAAAAGACACGUAGAUACGUACAAUAUUUACGUGAGACGUAGCCAUGGGAUCAACUUGAAUAUGCACUUAUAAAUCCGAAUCGAAUCCGACAUGGAAGGUCCACUGCGUAGGGUUAUAGGGAUACUAUUCGUAUCUUUACUGUAAAUUUUUAUGAAAUUUCGUAUUUUCAUUGGACAGAACCGAAGAAACGCAACUCGCAGAGAAAUUUGUUUCAUCGGCUAAACAUUCUAAAGAGUACGAAAGACAAAUAGCUUAUAUAAGUUAGCUUACAUAAAUUGACGUUUAGAUAGAUAAUAAAUGUUUCAAAUAAGGAACGAUACUCGAACUCUAUGAUUGAAUGUAACAACGGCCAAUGAUAGUUGACACUUGUGAAAUAUAUCAAUUUGGAAAAGAA